rnacentral:rRNA from 1 species
GGUAGGACUCUCGGCAACGGAUAUCUCGGCUCUCGCAUCGAUGAAGAACGCAGCA